UUUCUACAGUUUUCUUAAUCAAAAGUGGUCUAGGUAACCUGUAAAGAAAGGAUUAAAAAUUUAAGAUGUUCUAGUUCUGCUUUCUUUGUUUUAAAAAUCGCUGCUUCAAUCUACUUUAAAAUAAUGGUGUUUCUUUUCUUGUCCCAAUUGAUCCAAAACCUUCAAUUUACACUUAGCCCUUAAGGUUAAAACAAACAAAAAGGUUGCAGUUCCCCUGCCCUUACAAUUCCCACUUUCUUGCAUUUGGUUUGUUUUUCACUUAUUCACUUCUCCCAGACCCAGGACUAUCUCUUCCGCAAAGGAGGAGAAAAUGCUCCUGGCGAUUCUGGUGGCUUCCCUACUCCCAUGUUGCACUGCCCUGUGUGGGAGUUUGUUCAAAUUCUCCUGGCUCCAAUUUAUAACAUCCUUUUAAAAAAGAUUAAAAACAAGCAAACCACCACUCACCACCCCUCCACCCCUACCAAAAAAAAAAAAAAAAAAAAAAAAAAAAAAAAAAAAGCGGCGGUGAAAAGGGAGGCCCAAUUCUUAUGUAAAAAUCUGGCCGGUAUUAACCACAAUAACGUUGAUUAAAUGGGCAAGCCCUGAUGUCUGUGUGCCUGAUUGAAUUUCAGCCUGGCCUGGCCUGCUUGGGAAACCCAGGUCUGGGCCAACGCCAGAGGAGGGCCUGCCAACCAGAGGAUGCUGUGCACUUGUGUGAGGAAUUUCUCACCAGAGAGGCUCCUGAGGCCAAAGGUUGACGCUCCUCCCUGCAGCCACUGUGCAAGAUGUGCUGGUCACUGCAGACAACUCUGAAGCCAGGAUGUCCAUGUGAAAUUCCACGCUCACCUGUCACUGAGCUCGCUCUCCCAGCUCCCCAGGGCAGCGCAGCCCCACCGCGACCCUCCCUCGGCACAGUUUGGCCCUUUGCGGGGUUGGAAUUGGCCGGACUUGGCUGUAGCCAGCAGCAGUCUGGGGGUGCCGGCGCCCUGCUGGCCCCUUCCUUCGGAACAGCCGGCCAGCCCAGAAGCAAGACCGCCUUCCCUCUCCCUCUGGACACACAGCCUUUGCAGAGUCAAGCUCCACUUGAAGCUCACUCAAUUUUGACACGUGGGACUCUUGUUGUAUUUACUGGUAAGAGUGUUUCCUUCUCUGGGAUCCUGCAUCUCUCGAUCUCUACACCCUCAGAACCUGAAGAUGCAAGUUUCACAAAUCCUCAAGCAACCGCUAGGAGUGAUGGUAAGCAGAGCCAUGCUUACUUCUAGCCUCUACUCCUCAGACCCAUGUGUUCUAUAUAUUGUAAACACAGUGCCAUAGAAUGAUCAUUGUUUCUGAAUGCAUACUACAGCUCGAUUGGCAUUGUUUUCAUUUUGUAUUUCUGAGCUGGCAUUCGGUUAUGCUUUUCAAAAGCUGUUCCAUCACUUUAUCUCUCUAGUUAGAAGGAACUUUUAUCCCUUAAUCCAAGGUAAACAUAGGCACCAGUGUAAUAGGUGUUGAUGGUGUGGGGGUCUAGGCCACCUUUCCAUGCAGAUAAUUUGUAUAUUCUGGCCUUGUUUAUGCUCCAUACUGGAUACCCCACCUGCAAUUUUUAAUGGGUUGCUUUGAGGAUUACCUAACCUUAUGGCUAGUAGCGUCUGAUAGAUCAUUAAACAUGUUGGCUAUUUCUGCUUACAAAGUCAGGUGCUCUGUCUCUUUAAACAGAACCAGGAGCUGUUUUUCUAAGGCUGUAUAUUUCUCUGUUGCAGAUGGUCUGUAUCGUGACUCUCUCCCUGGGGCUAACCAUAAACUACACAUGUAGUCUUUUUCCAUCUGUGAUACCUGUACCAUAGGUAUCAUCAUAUGGAUCAAGUGGCAGGAUGCUUGCACUUAGCCUGAAUCCACUUCCCAGCCCUUUCCUUUUUUAGUCGUCACUUGAAGUGGG
rnacentral:lncRNA from 12 species